CGGUGCAGAAGCAGCAAGAUGCUGUGGCAGACUCAGCUCCUCUGGCUCCUCGUGCUCUGGGCAAAGGGCUCCAGCGGAGACAUCCUUGUGACCCAGACUCCAGAAGCUGUGGUUGUGUCCCCGGGAGAUACAGUCACCAUCAAGUGCAAAACCAGCUCCAGUGUUAGCAACUGGAUGAACUUCUACCAGCAGAAACCAGGGCAGGCUCCAAAGCUCCUUGUCUACAAAACAAGCAACCGCCCCUCGGGGAUCCCCGACCGGGUCAGUGGCAGUGGGUCUGGCACCGACUACACUUUCACCAUCAGCCGGGUGGAAGCUGGGGAUGCUGGAGAUUAUUACUGUCAGCAGGCUAGUAGCCCUCCCACAGUGCUACAGCCCCGGCUGAAUGGAGACAUUGUGGUAACUCAGACCCCUGCUUCCCUGGCAGUGUCCCCAGGGGAGACAGUCACCAUUCGGUGCAAACCUUCCAGCCCCGUCAGCAAUGAAAUGAACUUGUACUUGUUCAGACAAGGAGCAAGUCCCCAGCUCAUGAUCCACCAUGCAACGAGCCACAUCCCCGGAGUCCCUGAUCGGUUCAAGGGCACACACAGCAGCACUGACCUCACCUUCAUCAUUCGCGGGGUGCAGGUGGAAGACGCAGGCAACUACUACUGCGGGCAGUGUCUCUAG